ensembl:lncRNA
GGAUGGUAUAGCAUUAUAUGCUCUGCUCCUGAUGUCGUCACGGCGAUUGAGACACACUGCUGUCAGGUGGAGAGGACAAUGUUUUGGGGGAACGCAGAUUUAGUUUUGUUUUAUUUUGUUUUAAAGGAAAUGUUAGCCCGACCUGGUAAUGUACAUAGUAGGACCAAGUCCCCUUUUUGUCAGUCAGUACUUUCUUCAAUACUCUACUCCUCUUAUGAAAUGCAGGAUUUUAAGCCUUCUUACUGUGUACGUGGAAGUGUAUGAGUGUGUGUUUCUAUGAAUAUGACCAUUGUGAUCCUGAUGGUUUUGGGCUAGAGGAGGACAGAAGGGAUGUAGGGGGAGAUCAGAUCUCCCUGUAAUGACCGACGGCACCGCUUAUUAUUACAAUCCCCUCACUGAAGACUGCACUGUCUGGAAUGGCACCCUACUACCCAUAGGGCGCUGGUCAAAAUAGUGCACUACUACCCAUAGGACGCUGGUCAAAAGUAGUGCACUACGUGCCAUUCCAGAUGCAGCCCAUUUGUCUUUAUUAGGAGUGGUCUGUGUUUUGGGUGUUUCCAUUCCCAUCUUACUGUAUGGGGGUGCUUGGUCGAGGUGGAGGGAAUUGAACCAUGGUCUCCUACAGCACUUAGUUACUUAAGUGCAUUGACCACCAGCUUCUGUCUUGACGCUAACCCAACGGUGAUAACUGCUAGCCGUUAUCGUUAGUGAUGCUAACCCAACGGUGCUAGCUGUUAACAUUAGUGAUGCUAACCCAACGGUGCUAACUGCUAGCAAUUAACAUUACAGUGAUGCUAACCCAACGGUGCUAACUGCUAGCCGUUAUCAUUAUAGUGAUGCUAACCCAAUGGUGCUAGCUGUUGACAUUAGUGAUGCUAACCCAACGGCGUGAACUGCUAGCAGUUAACAUUACAUUGAUGCUAAGCCAACGGUGCUAGCCAUUAACAUUACAGUGACACAGAGCAGUGUGUAUGAGGUUAUACUGUUAUACUGCUCUCCAUGUACAUUGUCCUACAAGGACAUUUCAGAAAAAGUAGUAUCUACCGAUCUGGAGAAAGAGAUUUGCUCUUUGUAAAGCUGUCCCCAAGUGUCCAGGUGAACUGAACCCAAAUUCACCGUCCUAUAGGACCAUUGAAAAUCCAAUGGUACAUGCAUUUACCUGAUAGAAUAUAUUUUAUUAGCAAAGAAAUGUUUUUAAUCUGCUCUUCAAGUUGUAUUGCUUGUUCUUGUUUCCACCCGUACUAUUCUGUGUGUAUUAGUUGUUUGUCCUUUUUAUGCUCCCAAAUCUUUUAAUGUCAUUUUGUAUAAAUAUAUAUCCUUUUUUUUUUUUUUUUGCAUAGGAAAUGUUGUCGAAAUGAUGCAUCAUACUUGUAUCUGUUAUUGUUGGUCUUUUAAUAAAAAAAUACAUAUCUCAAACGAUUCCGGUGUAGCAAACGUUA